CACCGCGGUUAUACGAGAGGCCCGAGUUGAUAGAUGACGGCGUAAAGGGUGGUUAGGGGUUAACAUUAAUUAAAGCCAAAGACCUACCGAGCUGUCAUACGCACCCGAAGGCACGAAGCCCAAAUACGAAAGCAGCUUUAUCUCCCCCCGACCCCACGAAAGCUAAGGAA
rnacentral:rRNA from 1 species